UACAGAGGUCCCAAGUGUUGUUCGGAUUCACUGGGCGUAAAGGGUGCGCAGGUGGGCUGGUAAGUUCGAUGUGAAAGCCCCGGGCUUAACCCGGGAAUGGCAUUGGAUACUACUGGUCUGGAGGAUUGGAGGGGGGACUGGAAUUCUUGGUGUAGCAGUGAAAUGCGUAGAUAUCAAGAGGAACACCUGCGGCGAAGGCGGGUUGCUGGGCUGACACUGACGCUGAUGCGCGAAAGCCAGGGGAGCGAACGGG
rnacentral:rRNA from 1 species